UUAAAUUGAAGAGUUUGAUCAUGGCUCAGAUUGAACGCUGGCGGCAGGCUUAACACAUGCAAGUCGAACGGUAACAUGAGUGCUUGCACUUGAUGACGAGUGGCGGACGGGUGAGUAAUGUAUGGGGAUCUGCCGAGUGGCGAGGGACAACAGUUGGAAACGACUGCUAAUACCUCAUAAAGUUGAGAAACCAAAGCGUGGGACCUUCGGGCCACGUGCCAUUUGAUGAGCCCAUAUGGGAUUAGCUGGUUGGUGAGGUAAGGGCUCACCAAGGCGACGAUCUCUAGCUGGUCUGAGAGGAUGACCAGCCACACUGGAACUGAGACACGGUCCAGACUCCUACGGGAGGCAGCAGU
rnacentral:rRNA from 1 species